rnacentral:tRNA from 1 species
CGCGGCGGUCCGGGUGGUCCCGGGGUCCGGUUCAUACCCGGUGCUGCUGCAGGUUCGACUCCUGCCGUCGCGU